CAGUGGGGAAUUUUGGACAUUGGGGGAAACCUUAAUCCAGCAAUGCCGCGUGUGCGAAGAAGGCCUUCGGGUUGUAAAGCACUUUUGUCAGGGAAGAAAUCCUUUGGGCUAAUACCCUAGGGGGAUGACGGUACCUGAAGAAUAAGCACCGGCUAACUACGUGCCAGCAGCCGCGKUAAUACGUAGGGUGCAAGCGUUAAUCGGAAUUACUGGGCGUAAAGCGUGCGCAGGCGGUUGUKUAAGACAGGUGUGAAAUCCCCGGGCUUAACCUGGGAAUUSCAUUUGUGACUGCWCGACUAGAGUGUGUCAGAGGGGGGUGGAAUUCCACGUGUAGCAGUGAAAUGCGUAGAUAUGUGGAGGAACACCAAUGGCGAAGGCAGCCCCCUGGAAUAACACUGACGCUCAUGCRCGAAAGCGUGGGGAGCAAACAGGAUUAGAUACCCUGGUAGUCCACGCCCUAAACGAUGUCAACUAGUUGUUGGGGAUUUACUUCCUUGGUAACGUAACUAACGCGUGAAGUUGACCGCCUGGGGAAUACCGCCGCAAGGUUAAAACUCAAGGAAUUGACGG
rnacentral:rRNA from 1 species